GGAAAUCAUAUUGCAGAAUAAGAAAAAAGACCAACUGGAAGCCCAAGCAAGGGUAGCUGAGCAAAAAAUCUAGGGAUUGAAAUUAAAAGCAGAAGAUGAGUACAUAUUAAAGGAGCUGACUAUUGUUAGACAGAGUUUUCUUGUUGGCUGUGCUGCUAUUGCUGGAGUUGUAAGGAGCUAGCUUGACUGUGGGAGAGGAGAGGCAACAGUCAAUAUACCCAAGCAGACAUAGAUAUGAUGCGAAAUGAAUGGGCAAAGUAUGUCGUGAAGGCGUAUGUGUAGGAGCUAAAGGAAAGCAUAAGAGGAAGUAGGUUGUUGCUGAAGGAAAGCAUCAUUUUUGUGCUUCUCUACUGGUACAAUAUUGA